rnacentral:misc_RNA from 1 species
GAAAUGCGAUACGUAAUGUGAAUUGCGGAAUUCAGUGAAUCAUCGAAUCUUUGAACGCAUAUUGCGCUCUCUGGUAUUCCGGAGAGCAUGCUUGUUUGAGUAUCAGUAAACACCUCAACUCCCCUUUUCUUUUUCUGAAAUGGUGGAGCUGGACUUUUCUCUGAGCUAUAAGCAUAUCCUAUUUAGUCUGCCUUAAAAACAGAUUAUUACCUUUGCUGCAGCUAACAUAAAGGAGAUUAGUUCUUGUGCUGACUGAUGCAGGAUUCACAGAGAGACAGCUUCGCGGCUGACUUUGUAAACUCGAUCUCAAAUCAAGUAAGACUACCCGCUGAACUUAA